rnacentral:rRNA from 1 species
GAUGAACGCUGGCGGCGUGCCUAAUACAUGCAAGUCGAGCGAACAGACGAGGAGCUUGCUCCUCUGACGUUAGCGGCUGACGGGUGAGUAACACGUGGAUAACCUACCUAUAAGACUGGGAUAACUUCGGGAAACCGGAGCUAAUACCGGAUAAUAUAUUGAACCGCAUGGUUCAAUAGUGAAAGACGGUUUUGCUGUCACUUAUAGAUGGAUCCGCGCCGCAUUAGCUAGUUGGUAAGGUAACGGCUUACCAAGGCAACGAUGCGUAGCCGACCUGAGAGGGGGAUCGGCCACACUGGAACUGAGACACGGUCCAGACUCCUACGGGAGGCAGCAGUAGGGAAUCUUCCGCAAUGGGCGAAAGCUUGACGGAGCAACGCCGCGUGAGUGAUGAAGGUCUUCGGAUCGUAAAACUCUGUUAUUAGGGAAGAACAAAUGUGUAAGUAACUAUGCACGUCUUGACGGUACCUAAUCAGAAAGCCACGGCUAACUACGUG